rnacentral:rRNA from 1 species
UGCCAGCCGCCGCGGUAAUACGGAGGGGGUUAGCGUUGUUCGGAGUUACUGGGCGUAAAGCGCGCGUAGGCGGAUUGGAAAGUUGGGGGUGAAAUCCCGGGGCUCAACCCCGGAACUGCCUCCAAAACUGCCAGUCUAGAGUAUGAUAGGGGUAGAGGGAAUUUCUAGUGUAGCGGUGAAAUGCGUAGAUAUUAGAAAGAACACCGGUGGCGAAGGCGCUCUACUGGAUCAUUACUGACACUCAGAGGCGAAAGCUAGGGUAGCAAAAGGGAUUAGAUA